rnacentral:rRNA from 1 species
AAGUCGAACGGCAGCACGGGAGCUUGCUCCUGGUGGCGAGUGGCGAACGGGUGAGUAAUGCGUCGGAACGUACCGAGUAAUGGGGGAUAACGCAGCGAAAGUUGUGCUAAUACCGCAUACGCCCCGAGGGGGAAAGUGGGGGACCGCAAGGCCUCACGUUAUUCGAGCGGCCGACGUCUGAUUAGCUAGUUGGUGGGGUAAAGGCCUACCAAGGCGACGAUCAGUAGCGGGUCUGAGAGGAUGAUCCGCCACACUGGGACUGAGACACGGCCCAGACUCCUACGGGAGGCAGCAGUGGGGAAUUUUGGACAAUGGGGGCAACCCUGAUCCAGCCAUUCCGCGUGAGUGAAGAAGGCCUUCGGGUUGUAAAGCUCUUUCAGCUGGAACGAAACGGUACACGCUAACAUCGUGUGCUAAUGACGGUACCGGCAGAAGAAGCACCGGCUAACUACGUGCCAGCAGCCGCGGUAAUACGUAGGGUGCGAGCGUUAAUCGGAAUUACUGGGCGUAAAGCGUGCGCAGGCGGAUUGUUAAGCAAGAUGUGAAAUCCCCGGGCUUAACCUGGGAAUGGCAUUUUGAACUGGCAGUCUAGAGUGCGUCAGAGGGGGGUGGAAUUCCACGUGUAGCAGUGAAAUGCGUAGAGAUGUGGAGGAACACCGAUGGCGAAGGCAGCCCCCUGGGAUGACACUGACGCUCAUGUACGAAAGCGUGGGUAGCAAACAGGAUUAGAUACCCUGGUAGUCCACGCCCUAAACGAUGUCAACUGGUUGUUGGGGGAGUGAAAUCCCUUAGUAACGAAGCUAACGCGUGAAGUUGACCGCCUGGGGAGUACGGUCGCAAGAUUAAAACUCAAAGGAAUUGACGGGGACCCGCACAAGCGGUGGAUGAUGUGGAU